rnacentral:rRNA from 1 species
CGUGUAGGCGGCGCGGUAAGUUGGGCGUGAAAUCCCCGAGCUUAACUCGGGUGGGCCGUUCAAGACUGCCGUGCUAGGGUGCGGGAGAGGGAAGUGGAAUUUCCGGUGUAGCGGUGAAAUGCGUAGAUAUCGGGAGGAACACCUGCGGCGAAGGCGGCUUCCUGGACCGUAACCGACGCUGAGGCGCGAAAGCUAGGGGAGCAAACAGGAUUAAGAUACCCUGGUAGUCCUAGCCCUAAACGAUGAGCACUGGGUGUGGCCCCUCACGGGGCCGUGCCGAAGCUAACGCAUUAAGUGCUCCGCCUGGGGAGUACGGUCGCAAGGCUGAA